CCUACGGGGGGCUGCAGUGGGGAAUAUUGCGCAAUGGGGGCAACCCUGACGCAGCAACGCCGCGUGAUUGAAGAAGGCCUUCGGGUUGUAAAGAUCUUUAAUCGGGGACGAAUUUUGACGGUACCCGAAGAAUAAGCUCCGGCUAACUACGUGCCAGCAGCCGCGGUAAUACGUAGGGAGCAAGCGUUAUCCGGAUUUACUGGGUGUAAAGGGCGUGUAGGCGGGCAUGCAAGCCAGAAGUGAAAUCUGGGGGCUUAACCCCCAAACUGCUUUGGAAACUGUGCGGCUGGAGUGCAGGAGGGGUAAGCGGAAUUCCUAGUGUAGCGGUGAAAUGCGUAGAUAUCACGAAGAACCCCGAUUGCGAAGGCAGCCUGCCGCAGCGUUACUGACGCUGAAGCUCGAAAGCGCGGGUAUCGAACAGGAUUAGAUACCCGGGUAGUC
rnacentral:rRNA from 1 species